rnacentral:lncRNA from 1 species
AUUUUCGCUUUGUGAUGCAAAUAUGCUUUUCACCUGAGAUGAUUAUAAUACAGCAGUGGAAACGUUGCUUUUUUCCGCAUGCAGGUGGUUCAAAGCAAAACGGAUCUCUUCCUGAUUUCAACAGAUCAACGCAGCGCCUGUAAAUCAGAACAAAAUAUUACUCUUCAGCUGCUGUUCCCAGGAGGUGUGUUAGACGGUUUUCUUCACUAUGAACCGAGGUUCAAUCGUCCCUGAAACAGAGCAAUAGCAUUAGCGCUUUUGAAAAAUGAAUUACUCCGCAUUCCCUUGUAGAGAUUUGGCUCGGGAUGGACUAAGCGAUAGCAGGUAUCAGCUGAGGC